GUCGUCAGCUCGUGUCGUGAGAUGUUGGGUUAAGUCCCGCAACGAGCGCAACCCUUGUCAUUAGUUGCUACGAAAGGGCACUCUAAUGAGACUGCCGGUGACAAACCGGAGGAAGGUGGGGAUGACGUCAGGUCAUCAUGGCCCUUAUGGGUAGGGCUACACACGUCAUACAAUGGCCGGGACAGAGGGCUGCCAACCCGCGAGGGGGAGCUAAUCCCAGAAACCCGGUCGUAGUCCGGAUCGUAGUCUGCAACUCGACUGCGUGAAGUCGGAAUCGCUAGUAAUCGCGGAUCAGCUUGCCGCGGUGAAUACGUUCCCGGG
rnacentral:rRNA from 1 species